rnacentral:lncRNA from 1 species
UCAAACUGACACACUUGUUUAUGCACAGGGACAUAAUGGCGUCUCUCCCUUAUUCCUGAUGGGUACAAUACACAUCAUCACACUUCACAAUGGCUACAUGACCCAAUGUGAAUAUUACUCCAAAACCACAACUAUGCUCACUCCUAUCUACAAACAAUUCUCAUAAAAUGUUUCUAACAUUGUCACCUUACAGUCGCUCGGUGCCUUCAUCCAAACAGCCAUGGCCGCUUUGUCGAGUGCUCAUGCCCUAUUCUUCUUCUUGGUCUCCUAGUCUAUGGCGUUCGCGAUGGCAAUGGUGAUGGCGAUGUGAGCGUUCGAGAUGCAAGCAAACCAACAAUGAUACUUGAUCUAUCCUUUGAAGCUGCUUGCACUUUAUGGGGCAAAAUGUUGUGUAGAAAUUCGCUGAUGUGGAAGGAAUACCUGAAAGUGGAAUGCCAUCCUUUAAUUGGUCCAGUGAAGGAUUUAUUUUCUGCUAGAAAAGUGUCUUGGUGCCAUGUUAGUUUUACAAAAUGGCUUAACCAGUUCAGCCAGGAAAAAGAGGAAACAUUAUCCAGACGAUAAAGUGAGAAAUCAAUGCAAUUCACCGCCAUGAUACUUGUUGGAACUGUGGGACAGGUUAUCUUUGAACAUUUCAGCAGCAGAGUGAUCACUGAAAUGGCUUGGUGUAGCACAGACAAGAAGCUACCACAGUCAGAUAUCUCGCAAAUGCCUUCGGCUGUUCAUUGCUUGUGUCCAAUGGUCAACAUCUGUACAAGAUAUCUGAGCAGCAAUAUGAGAGUGAGUUCUUCAGUUCAAACGAUCAUCGAUCAUCAAUACAUGAGGGUGCAGACUAAAGGAAUCAAUAUAGCUCUUGUGUUACCUUGGGACCCUAGCAUAAAAUCCAUUGUAUGUACAAAUUGUACUACACAUACUAUUGUUAGUUAUUUUUCACGGAAGCGUACUAUAACAAAGAACAUGAGCAUGGAGCAGUUUUUACAAAGGGAAGGAACUAUGGGGGAGCACGAGGAUACUAAAGAGACGAUUCCCAUAUCCCUCAUAGACAUGUUGGGCACUGCUUUAUCACACCAAUACUGUCUAGCUCAUGGAGAUCUUUUCCGUGUGAAGCACUGAGUGCUCCCCAAAUGGCCUACCGAUCAAAUCUCAAUGCAGACAAUAACUGUCAUUUUGAUAAUGAUCGCUGCUGUAAGUCAAGCACCACAACCAUCAAAUUUGUCAGCUGAGAGAAUUGUUGCAUUUGAGUUACUUGGACAAGAGCAAGUUUUCCUUGA